UACGGAGGGGACUAGCGUUGUUCGGAAUUACUGGGCGUAAAGCGCACGUAGGCGGAUUUGUAAGUCAGGGGUGAAAUCCCGGGGCUCAACCUCGGAACUGCCUUUGAUACUGCAAAUCUCGAGUCCGGAAGAGGUGAGUGGAAUUCCAGUGUAGAGGUGAAAUUCGUAGAUAUUAGGAAGAACACCAGUGGCGAAGGCGGCUCACUGGUCCGGUACUGACGCUGAGGUGCGAAAGCGUGGGGAGCAAACAGG
rnacentral:rRNA from 1 species